ACCGGUUUUUCCUGAUUUGUUUCUCUUCUCUCCCUUCCAGAUCGAUCACCUUCCGUUCUUAAAAAAGGAUCCUGAUUUGUUUCUCUUCUCUCCCUUCCAGAUCGAUCACCUUCCGUUCUUAAAAAAGGAUCUCCUUCCCGAUUCGUCCCAAAAACAAAUCCUUCCGAUUCUGAUUUUUCCUUCCAUUCUUUCCAAACCAGUGCCCACCCGAUCUAAAUCUAGACAAGGGCUGCCUCCCUCCCGUCCAACCCAUCCCGUUAGUUCUACAAGCCAUGGAAGAGAGAGGGGGAAAAGGACAUGCCGAUGUACUACCGCGCACCAGGCCGCUGCUGCUGAUCGCGUGUUGGUUCUCCUCCGUCCACCCCCACCUCCAACUCUAUCUACGGCCGUCGCGACAAUGUAGAUGCCCAGUCCACCGCCCUAGCAAACUGUGGGCCUACGGUGGUGCUCACCCAUGGCGAUGUCGCCUUGCCCUUGAGGCCACCGCCAUGGACGACAGCGACGCGCGUCAUCAUCCGUUUCUGUGAGCCCGCCACCACCGUGGUCGUGAUGGUCGCGCCCCAGUCGCGAUCCCCUGGUGGCUCUCUCUUCAUGCAUUCAAUGGGUCAAUGAGUUCAUCACUGACAUCGAGGAACAUGUCGGUGAACUCGGGUCCCAUCGAUUGGCGCCUGGCUUGCUUGUUACUAAUAAGUUUGGGUUCAGUAGAAUAUGUAAUUUUGUUCCUUCUGCAGGAGCUUCUUGCAGCUGUGGACGGGAUGUUGUUGGCUAAUGCGGCUGCAGCCGCUUUCUCACACUGUUGACUUGUGCCACUUCCGCUCAUGGAAUUGAUCCAGGCACGUUGGACCAAUUCUGGAAGGUGCAACAUGAAGAAGUUCAGGGAGUUGUCGGAGUUUCAAUAUGGUUUUCAAUAUGGUUCAGGAUUGAUACAUCAAAUAUGAACUGAACUUGAAAUUAUCCUACAAUGUAUUGACUGCUCGGAGCUAACUUGACUACGCCAGAUUUCUUGUAUGGCUCAAAGUAGAUAGUGUCCCCCCUUAUUAUCAGAGAGGUACUACUUCAAACAUCCCUUCUUAAUGUUUUAUGUCAUGGUAUACAGUAUGAUGGAGUGUUAGUUGGCUUGACUUUUGUGGCACUCAUUGAUAACUUUUUCGUUUAGGAGUUUUUGUGGCAUCCUGAUCCAUGAGAGUAUGCUCAUGUUGAAGAAGUUAUAGUCAUAAUGAGGGGCGCGAUAAAUAUUUGUUAUCUGGCACGCAUUCUAAUGAACAUCACAUGUGGACCAUUUACAGUUUUUGUUAUUGGAACUCCAUUGCACUACUCAUACAGUAAAAUAUGAGUGCCAUGUCGGAAUAUGGUUCUCGAGCUGAAAGGUCAUAUUCGAAAUUGCAGGUUCUAUGACAGUGGAUGGAUGUUCGUAAAUUAGUAUUGCUUUUGAGUUGGAGCUGGAAUAAUAUAUGUGCUGCAUUUAGUUAUAUAUAUGAACACCCAUUGUAUAUUUCUUGCAAGACAUGAUAACUACUAUUAUUUGGAUUGUUCCCAUGAACUGGUUUGACCUCGAUUAAGAAGUACAAAGUUUGUAGCCUUGUAGGUUGUUUGAUCUA